CGGCAGCGCGGGCCAACCUGGCGGCGAGUGGCGAACGGGUUGAGUAAUACAUCGGAACGUACCCAGAAGUGGGGGAUAACGUAGCGAAAGUUACGCUAAUACCGCAUACGUUCUACGGAAGAAAGUGGGGGAUCUUCGGACCUCAUGCUUUUGGAGCGGCCGAUGUCUGAUUAGCUAGUUGGUGAGGUAAAGGCUCACCAAGGCAACGAUCAGUAGCUGGUCUGAGAGGACGACCAGCCACACUGGAACUGAGACACGGUCCAGACUCCUACGGGAGGCAGCAGUGGGGAAUUUUGGACAAUGGGCGCAAGCCUGAUCCAGCAAUGCCGCGUGAGUGAAGAAGGCCUUCGGGUUGUAAAGCUCUUUUGUCAGGGAAGAAACGGCUGAGGUUAAUACCUUCGGCUAAUGACGGUACCUGAAGAAUAAGCACCGGCUAACUACGUGCCAGCAGCCGCGGUAAUACGUAGGGUGCAAGCGUUAAUCGGAAUUACUGGGCGUAAAGCGUGCGCAGGCGGUUUUGUAAGUCUGACGUGAAAUCCCCGGGCUCAACCUGGGAAUUGCGUUGGAGACUGCAAGGCUGGAGUCUGGCAGAGGGGGGUAGAAUUCCACGUGUAGCAGUGAAAUGCGUAGAGAUGUGGAGGAACACCGAUGGCGAAGGCAGCCCCCUGGGUCAAGACUGACGCUCAUGCACGAAAGCGUGGGGAGCAAACAGGAUU
rnacentral:rRNA from 1 species